UUAGCAUGCACCGGCUUCUGUAACUUCACGCCACGCCCCACACGCGCAAACCAUUGGUUUUCUCCAACCAUGGUCCCCUCGAUAACUCUCUGAUUUUCGCCGAUUGUUUCAGGUUAAACCUCCGGCACCAAUCUCGCCGCUAUCUGCCCCACCGAUUGCCAGGAUCGAAUCGGAGAGAGAAAAGAGACGGUCGUUGACGAUUCGAUUCGCGCUUCUGGAUGGGGAAGAAGAGGAAGUCCGUGGCCACGAGCCUCGACGAGGUCGAUCGCACGAUGUACUCCACGUUCUGCAGCGCCGCGAACUCGCUCUCUCAGUUGUACACGCAGGCCAUGAACCAGCAGAAACUCACCUUUCAAGCCGGUGAACGCCAUGGACUGGAGAAACUUUAUCAAUGGAUUUUGAGACAAGAGGGUGGAUUGAGAGUAAACAGUGUAGACAUACUCAACUACUUGCAGAAUGAGCUGGACUACAGUGGAGAAGAGCCAUCAAUGUCACCUAGAGCACAACCCCUAAACCAGCACUUACCGACCACAAUGCAUGUAACCAAUUCAGGCUUCUUUGUCUCAUCAGGCUCAUCUGGUGCACCAAAUGCUGGACCUGGCCUUCGGACAGAACACUGCGAACAGCAGAACAAGAAUUCUGUUUUCUCAAAUGCCCUCUCAAGUCCUAUUCGCCGGAGCCUUCAGAACUAUCAUAUUUCACAAGGAGGCUACUAUCCAGCCGGUGUUCAGCCGGCAAAUGGAUUCAGGAACAGCGAGCCUAGCUUUGCACAGCAGAACAGGGAUUCUGAUUCCUUCAACUCCAACGAUGCCUCAAUGGACAUGCAUGCAGAUAGUCCCAGUCACGAGUCUACUCCUUGAAGAUUUUUGAGUAUGGUCAUUGGUCACAAGGUCAGCAUGCUUAUAGAAGUGUUGGGAGCUAUUCAGUCCGUUGCUUUUGAGAUUAGCACAGCUUUUACAACAAACGGCGGUUCAAUGUCGACAAGGUUACUUCAUACAAGAAUAAACGAAAAAUUACAGCAUCUUGUUGAAGUGUGUCCAUAGAAAGUCAUCGAGUGAUUCUCCUCGCAAGGCAGAUUGCAUUACGAUGGCACCAAACCUAUCAAAUCUGACUCUCAUUGUCACUCAGUUUCUCUGGGUCUCCUAUGUUUUAUAGAUUAUCAAUUCAAAUUCUUGGACUCACAUCCCCAGUUCCUAUGCCUUGUUUUCUAGUUGGCAACAUGCAAUGUGGCUUGUUAUGAGUGAUGACCCACGACUUGUAUUUUGCCAAAAACCCAUGUCAAGCUCGCUUUGGAUACUGCUUGUUCUGAUCCAAAAUCAGCAUGUGAAGUUGGAUCGACAAUGUCAGCCUUCUUCCCCUCUCAAUCAUGCAUCCAACAUGUUCGGCUUUUAUAUUAUACCUUCCAACAGCUGACACUUGCCUUUCCAAAGGUCGUACUGACCAAAAAAGCUUAGAACUAUUUAAUUUGGGGUACUGCUUGGGA